rnacentral:rRNA from 1 species
ACGGAGGGUGCAAGCGUUAUUCGGAUUUAUUGGGUGUAAAGGGCGCGUAGGCGGCUUAUCAGGUCGGAUGUGAAAGCCCGCAGCUUAACGGCGGAAGUGCAUCCGAAACCGGCAGGCUUGAGUAUGGGAGAGGGAAGCGGAAUUCCCGGUGUAGAGGUGAAAUGAGUAGAUAUCGGGAGGAACACCUGUGGCGAGAGCGGUUUACAGGACCAAUACUGACGCUGAUGCGCGAAGGCGCGGGGAUCAAACAG